AGAACAAAGCCCACCCCCAAGCGUCACUUUCUGGUCGCCAGAGUCAUGGACUGUCCCAUAGCGAGUCCCCCCAGCACAGCUGCCUGGAUGGGUAGGAAGCAGGGUUUCUUCAGAAACAGGCCUGGCUUUCUUAGGACCCCAGAACCUCAGCCCUGGGAGGGGCCUGGGGGAAGCACAGUUCCAGCUGAAGUUGUUCCGAUGAGGAAACCAGCUCAAGCAUGAAUGGGCAGAGGAAGCGCCAGGAACAAGCAGGAUGAGAAAUCAGGUCUCCUGACUUCCUGCCUUCUGUAUUUUCCACUUCACCCUGACACCUCUUUCCUGUUGGGAAGUUUUACUUCUUUAGCUCCACGGAAAUAAACUGUAUCUGUUGCAGCUAAUUGCUGUGUUGCUCUACAUUCUUUCCACUUUUUGGCACUUGCCUCAUGCACACGCAUACAUGAAUCCAAGCUAUAGCCUGAGCACCUCGUUAAGGGUACGAUCCCAUGGGCUGUUUCUGGGCUCCAGGCUGUUUCCUAGGGCCCCAGAGGGGGGUGGCCAGGAUCCACUCUCAUUUAUGAACCAGUGAUGCUGUGUAGCCCUUUUGUUAGCAAGCACAUUCUCAUGCCUCGCGGGCAGGAACUUGUUCCCCAGUGAGGAUGGGGUUAAUAGGAUUGCACACAGGAUCUGCCCUACAACUCCUGUCCGUCUACACACACACAGCCAGACUGAGCAAAGGAAGUUCACAAGCUGGACCUAAAGGUUAACAGGAGGUGCAAUGUAUAACUGGAAUUUUCUUUAGUGCUAUCUAGAAAUUUCAUAUUCUAUGCCCUGCUUGUCCAGACUUUUUCUUCUAGCUGCUGAAUGAAUAAAACCCAGUGAUUGGGAAUAAAACCCAAUGAAUAAAACCCAGUAUCCCGCUCUUCACAACUCUUGUGUGGACAAACAGCAAGUGACUCCAAAAACCAGAUUAAUUCUUUCUGGGGAUAUAUGUCAUGCAUGUGGAAGGGUAGCAUCUGUCAUUUUCUGGGUGUUCUUUCAAAGUCUUAGUUUUUUGUUGUUUUGUGAAGGGCACCUAUCACUUUUAUAAUAAAAACUGUAACAAAUAAUGUAUACACGUAGCCACAAUAUAUAUGUAGGUAUGCAGGGCAGAGGUGAUAUUAUUCCCAAACCUGUAUAAACCACAGCUUGGAAUUUGUACUGAACUCCACCAAUUAUCCAGAAUUGUCUGUAGUUUCAGCUUCCAGGGAGCAUAGAGUGCUUUUGGAGGUCGGUAAAAAGAAAAGUCAUUUAACUGGGUGUUUUUCAAAUUUUUAGCCAAGAAUCUCCAUUAAGAGAUCCAUUUUAAACUGAAAAACGAAACAAAAGAAAAAGUCGGACGUGACCCAGUAAGGGAUUUCACAACACUAACGGGUUGUCUAGUUCAAGAGUUCAGACCCCGUGAUAGGCCAAAUUCGGCUGUUUGAAAGAAACUGACGGCGGAUUUCCCGCCCCAGGGGAAGCGAGGAAGGAGUCGGGCAUCCUGCUAUAUCCCGGGAAAAUUUCCGAGGGCAAACUACCCUAGCGCAGGGGCGGCAUCCUGAGCGCCAACCUUGGAUCGGUCGGAGAAGACCCGGGAAGGCCGGGGUCCCGGAGGGGUUGGAGUAAUCUGAUGUGCUCUUUUUCUGGUCCAGAUUCCAGCUGGACAUGACAUCACCACACAGGAAAUGUUCAUGUGAUCUCCCUGUAUGACUUGGUGGCUGCUAGCUAAAAGAUGCCAUUGUCUGAGCCAUGGUCUGACACAGGGAAUGACAUCAAUAGACAUUGGGUGACUUGUAUGGAGACUCCUCUUCACGUCAAUGGUAUUGCUCUUGGUAUUCACGAGUUCUACAAAACCAACAGUAAUUCCAUUCAAAGGACUUCUAGACUUCUCUAACACUGCCUAAGAUUUUAUACAAUAUCUCUGUCGUUAACCAAGCCAUGAAAACAUGUUAUUAGAAUGCCAUUAUUUAGUAAGUGGCUUCAUCUUGUUGAUUUUUGUUCAUUUUCAAGGCAUGGAACAUAAUUCAAUAACAUGAAAUAGUGUAAAACAUUGUUCUGUUUUUUCACUUUUGUCAUCAAGCCGCAAGUGCAUUGUAAUGUGAUUGGUUAGACAUAAUCAAUGGGAAAAAAUAGUUUUCUCCUGGAGUUGAUGUUCAUUGUGUAUAUCGACAGAUGGUGUUUCCUGUACCUUCAUUUCAAGUGUGCCUUCUCCUUCAAGCUCAGUUUAUUUUAAAUAGUUGGUCACUUUUACAGUUUAUGGAAUUAAUCUGUCAUUUUUAAUAACUGAAACUGUUCUUUCUGAUACAAUCAAAAGAAGUAUUGGCACUUCUCCUAGACUAUAAUUUAUAAUUUCCAAAUCUCUCUUUUAGAUGUUUUUAAAUGGUUUUCGUUUCCAAAAUUUUAAAGACUUCCAUUCCAGUUGUGCAUUACAGUGAAUAUACAAAGUGUGAUGCAGUUUUCACACUGCUUUUCUAGCUCAAGCCCUACAGACUGCCCAUUAAGGCUUGACCAGUCUUCUUAUUUCAGUUCCCAGCUUGUCAGGUGCAUUAGACAUUUUAUUUUAUUUUAUUUUUAAAAGAUUUUAUUUAUUCAUUUGAGAGAAAGGGAGGCAGAGGGAAAGGGAGAAGCAGGCUCCCUGCCCAAUGUGGGACUCAAUCCAUGGACCCUGGGAUCACGACCUGAGCCUAAGGCAGAUGUUUAACCUUAACCAACUGAGCCACCCAGGCGCCCCUGUCUUUCUUUCUUCUUAGAUUCACUCUCCAGCAAGAUGGGGAAUUUACAAACCUGAGUCGUUUGUGACUGAAUAGCUCCCAUUACUUUAAAAAAACAUUCUCACAGUCUUCCUGAAGUUUCACCCUUGCAAUCAGCCUGAGAUCUGAUUCAGAGUCAGUGGAUAUUUUAUUCUAAUAAUACAGGUUCAAAAUGAUGCUCAGGGAGGCUGUGCCCUGAGUCAGGCAGAAUGGGAGGUGGGCAGCCAGGUGGAGGGGAGAAGGCUGGUCUUCGGGUGUAGGACCUCACACUGUAGUUUCCACUAAAGCAGAGCUUCUGAGCGGGCAUCGAAUUCUCACUCUGAGAAGUUUUAUAUUGUAUUUUAUUUAGAUGAUCAUGUUAUGCAUCAUAUGUGCACUUCAGUCUUCUGUGUAUUUUUUGUGCUUAUUAUUGGGGUAUGCCAAAUAAUUCUCCCAAGAAAAGAGUAGAGGGGGACUUCCAAUUCCUUGAUUUAUUUAUGCUAUUAAUUAACAAAUAUUUAUUGAGCACUUUCUAUGUGAAGGUGUUGUGGUAGGUGCUGGCAGAUGGUGGGACAGUGUCCUGUGAAGGGAAGCUUGGCAGUGAUCUGAGCAAACCCAGAGUUCUCAUAAGGCAAGUCAGAAUCUUGCUGCAAGCCACAGUUUAACUUGAGCAAGCAUCAUCUACAUGAAAUUGAUGCUGUUAACUCGAAUUUAGUGGCUGUUUCCAGUUUUGUUUAUAUGUUGUGUAAAUUUGAAAAAAUAGUUGUA